ACCUCUCACGCCCCGGGUUCUCACCUGCGCGGCCGUGGACCGUGGCCUUGGCCGGCGCUCGUCGUCGGCCUGGCCGAAAUACAUGCGGAGGGCCUCUGCUGCCCGCGACGACCGAGCGUUGUAGACCCUCGCUUGAUCGGCGCGACGCAGGCUCCCAGCCUUAUCUA
rnacentral:misc_RNA from 1 species